GAUUUCUGACUUGGCGCACCUGGCCCGCCACGGUUACGUGUGUGAGUGCCGGGAUGCGCCUGUCACUUUUCUGGUAAACUAUUCGGCUCUUCACUGAGUCGGAUAGGUAGCCAGAUAUUUUACUUUGAAAAAAUUAGAGUGUUUAAAGCAGGCGUUUGCUAUGAAUACAUUAGCAUGGAAUAAUAAGUUAGGACUUCGGUUCUAUUUUGUUGGUUUCUAGGACUGAAGUAAUGAUUGAUAGGGAUAGUUGGGGGUGCUAGUAUUCAGCGGCCAGAGGUGAAAUUCUCGGAUUCGCUGAAGACUAACUUAUGCGAAAGCAUU
rnacentral:rRNA from 1 species